GACGAACGCUGGCGGCGUGCUUAACACAUGUAAGUCGAACGGACAGGCCCUGCUUUUGUGGGGUGCUCGAGUGGCGAACGGGUGAGUAACACGUGAGUAACCUGCCCCUGACUUUGGGAUAACUUCAGGAAAAUGGGGCUAAUACCGGAUAGGAGCUCCUGCUGCAUGGUGGGGGUUGGUAAGUUUCGGCGGUUGGGGAUGGACUCGCGGCUUAUCAGCUUGUUGGUGGGGUAGUGGCUUACCAAGGCUUUGACGGGUAGCCGGCCUGAGAGGGUGACCGGCCACAUUGGGACUGAGAUACGGCCCAGACUCCUACGGGAGGCAGCAGUGGGGAAUAUUGCACAAUGGGCGGAAGCCUGAUGCAGCAACGCCGCGUGCGGGAUGACGGCCUUCGGGUUGUAAACCGCUUUCGCCUGUGACGAAGCGUGAGUGACGGUAAUGGGUAAAGAAGCACCGGCUAACUACGUG
rnacentral:rRNA from 1 species